rnacentral:rRNA from 1 species
AUUGAACGCUGGCGGCAGGCUUAACACAUGCAAGUCGAACGAUGAUUAUCUAGCUUGCUAGAUAUGAUUAGUGGCGGACGGGUGAGUAACAUUUAGGAAUCUGCCUAGUAGUGGGGGAUAGCUCGGGGAAACUCGAAUUAAUACCGCAUACGACCUACGGGUGAAAGGGGGCGCAAGCUCUUGCUAUUAGAUGAGCCUAAAUCAGAUUAGCUAGUUGGUGGGGUAAAGGCCCACCAAGGCGACGAUCUGUAACUGGUCUGAGAGGAUGAUCAGUCACACCGGAACUGAGACACGGUCCGGACUCCUACGGGAGGCAGCAGUGGGGAAUAUUGGACAAUGGGGGCAACCCUGAUCCAGCCAUGCCGCGUGUGUGAAGAAGGCCUUUUGGUUGUAAAGCACUUUAAGCAGGGAGGAGAGGCUAAUGGUUAAUACCCAUUAGAUUAGACGUUACCUGCAGAAUAAGCACCGGCUAACUCUGUGCCAGCAGCCGCGGUAAUACAGAGGGUGCGAGCGUUAAUCGGAAUUACUGGGCGUAAAGCGAGUGUAGGUGGCUCAUUAAGUCACAUGUGAAAUCCCCGGGCUUAACCUGGGAACUGCAUGUGAUACUGGUGGUGCUAGAAUAUGUGAGAGGGAAGUAGAAUUCCAGGUGUAGCGGUGAAAUGCGUAGAGAUCUGGAGGAAUACCGAUGGCGAAGGCAGCUUCCUGGCAUAAUAUUGACACUGAGAUUCGAAAGCGUGGGUAGCAAACAGGAUUAGAUACCCUGGUAGUCCACGCCGUAAACGAUGUCUACUAGCCGUUGGGGUCCUUGAGACUUUAGUGGCGCAGUUAACGCGAUAAGUAGACCGCCUGGGGAGUACGGCCGCAAGGUUAAAACUCAAAUGAAUUGACGGGGGCCCGCGCAAGCGGUGGAGCAUGUGGUUUAAUUCGAUGCAACGCGAAGAACCUUACCUGGUCUUGACAUAGUGAGAAUCCUGCAGAGAUGCGGGAGUGCCUUCGGGAAUUCACAUACAGGUGCUGCAUGGCUGUCGUCAGCUCGUGUCGUGAGAUGUUGGGUUAAGUCCCGCAACGAGCGCAACCCUUUUCCUUAUUUGCCAGCGGGUUAAGCCGGGAACUUUAAGGAUACUGCCAGUGACAAACUGGAGGAAGGCGGGGACGACGUCAAGUCAUCAUGGCCCUUACGACCAGGGCUACACACGUGCUACAAUGGUAGGUACAGAGGGUUGCUACACAGCGAUGUGAUGCUAAUCUCAAAAAGCCUAUCGUAGUCCGGAUUGGAGUCUGCAACUCGACUCCAUGAAGUCGGAAUCGCUAGUAAUCGCAGAUCAGAAUGCUGCGGUGAAUACGUUCCCGGGCCU